rnacentral:misc_RNA from 1 species
GAUGAAGAACGUAGCGAAAUGCGAUAAGUAAUGUGAAUUGCAGAAUUCAGUGAAUCAUCGAAUCUUUGAACGCACAUUGCGCCCGUCAGUAUUCUGGCGGGCAUGCCUGUUCGAGCGUCAUUUCAACCCUCAGGCCCCGCCUGGCGUUGGGGAUCGGCGCGGCCCUCUCCGGGCUGCCGGCCCCGAAAACUAGUGGCGGUCUCGCUGUAGUCCUCCUCUGCGCAGUAGCAACGCUCGCACUGGAACUCGGCGCGGCCACGCCGUAAAACACCCCACUUCUGAUAGUUGACCUCGGAUCAGGUAGGAAUACCCGCUGAACUUAAGCAUAUCAAUAAGCGGAGGA